rnacentral:rRNA from 1 species
UUUGAUCCUGGCUCAGAUUGAACGCUAGCGGGAUGCUUUACACAUGCAAGUCGAACGGCAGCACGAGAGAGCUUGCUCUCUUGGUGGCGAGUGGCGGACGGGUGAGUAAUAUAUCGGAACGUGCCUAGUAGCGGGGGAUAACUACUCGAAAGAGUGGCUAAUACCGCGUACGCCCUACGGGGGAAAGGGGGGGAUCGCAAGACCUCUCACUAUUAGAGCGGCCGAUAUCGGAUUAGCUAGUUGGUGGGGUAAAGGCUCACCAAGGCAACGAUCCGUAGCUGGUUUGAGAGGACGACCAGCCACACUGGGACUGAGACACGGCCCAGACUCCUACGGGAGGCAGCAGUGGGGAAUUUUGGACAAUGGGGGAAACCCUGAUCCAGCCAUCCCGCGUGUAUGAUGAAGGCCUUCGGGUUGUAAAGUACUUUUGGCAGAGAAGAAAAGGUACCUCCUAAUACGAGGUACUGCUGACGGUAUCUGCAGAAUAAGCACCGGCUAACUACGUGCCAGCAGCCGCGGUAAUACGUAGGGUGCAAGCGUUAAUCGGAAUUACUGGGCGUAAAGCGUGUGUAGGCGGUUCGGAAAGAAAGAUGUGAAAUCCCAGGGCUCAACCUUGGAACUGCAUUUUUAACUGCCGAGCUAGAGUAUGUCAGAGGGGGGUAGAAUUCCACGUGUAGCAGUGAAAUGCGUAGAUAUGUGGAGGAAUACCGAUGGCGAAGGCAGCCCCCUGGGAUAAUACUGACGCUCAGACACGAAAGCGUGGGGAGCAAACAGGAUUAGAUACCCUGGGUAGUCCACGCCCUAAACGAUGUCAACUAGCUGUUGGGGCCGUCAGGCCUUAGUAGCGCAGCUAACGCGUGAAGUUGACCGCCUGGGGAGUACGGUCGCAAGAUUAAAACUCAAAGGAAUUGACGGGGACCCGCACAAGCGGUGGAUGAUGUGGAUUAAUUCGAUGCAACGCGAAAAACCUUACCUACCCUUGACAUGUCUGGAAUCCCGAAGAGAUUUGGGAGUGCUCGCAAGAGAACCGGAACACAGGUGCUGCAUGGCUGUCGUCAGCUCGUGUCGUGAGAUGUUGGGUUAAGUCCCGCAACGAGCGCAACCCUUGUCAUUAGUUGCUACGCAAGAGCACUCUAAUGAGACUGCCGGUGACAAACCGGAGGAAGGUGGGGAUGACGUCAAGUCCUCAUGGCCCUUAUGGGUAGGGCUUCACACGUCAUACAAUGGUCGGGACAGAGGGUCGCCAACCCGCGAGGGGGAGCCAAUCUCAGAAACCCGAUCGUAGUCCGGAUCGCAGUCUGCAACUCGACUGCGUGAAGUCGGAAUCGCUAGUAAUCGCGGAUCAGAAUGUCGCGGUGAAUACGUUCCCGGGUCUUGUACACACCGCCCGUCACACCAUGGGAGUGGGUUUCACCAGAAGUAGGUAGCCUAACCGCAAGGAGGGCGCUUACCACGGUGGGAUUCAUGACUGGGGUGAAGUCGUAACAAGGUAGCC